rnacentral:rRNA from 1 species
CCUACGUGUGGCAGCAGUGAGGAAUAUUGGUCAAUGGGCGGAAGCCUGAACCAGCCAAGUCGCGUGAGGGAUUAAGGCCCUGCGGGUCGUAAACCUCUUUUGCCGGGGAGCAGUGGUCCGGACGCGUCCGGACCGGGAGAGGACCCGGAGAAAAAGCAGCGGCGACCUCCGUGGCAGCAGCCGCGGUAAUACGGCGGAUGCGAGCGUUAUCAGGAUUGAGUGGGUUUAAAGGGUGCGUCGGCGGGCACUUAAGCCGGCGGUCACAUGUCGGGGCUCAACCCCGGCCUGCCGUCGGAACUGGGUGCCUUGAGUGGGCGAGACGUAUGCGGAAUGCGUGGUGUAGCGGUGACAUCCAUAGAUAUCACGCAGAACCCCGAUUGCGAAGGCAGCAUACCGGCGCCCUACUGACGCUGAGGCACGAAAGUGCGGGUAUCGAACAGGAUUAGAUACCCCAGUAGUC